rnacentral:rRNA from 1 species
CCUACGGGAGGCAGCAGUGAGGAAUAUUGGUCAAUGGGCGUAAGCCUGAACCAGCCAAGUCGCGUGAGGGAUGAAGGUUCUAUGGAUCGUAAACCUCUUUUAUAAGGGAAUAAAGUGUGGGACGUGUCCUAUUUUGUAUGUACCUUAUGAAUAAGGAUCGGCUAAAUCCGUUCCAGCAGCCGCGGUAAUUCGGAGGAUCCGGGCGUUAGCCGGGUUUAUUGGGUUUAACGGGUGCGUAGGGGGCCUUUUAAUGCAGCGGUGAAAGUGUGUGGGUCAACCAUAGAAUUGCCGUUGAAACUGGUGGUCUUGAGUAUGUUAGAGGCAGGCGGAAUGCGUGGGGUAGCGGUGAAAUGCUUAGAGAUCACGCAGAACCCCGAUUGCGAAGGCAGCCUGCCAAGCCAUGACUGACGCUGAUGCACGAAAGCGUGGGGAUCAAACAGGAUUAGAUACCCGAGUAGUC